rnacentral:misc_RNA from 1 species
AAAAAAAUUUUUCCGCAUGCAUUUCAAAAAUCACAACAAUCAAGGAAAAUAGCAGACAACAAUUUAGUUUCACACCGCAUAUAUAAUUUUUUCUCUUUGAUCGCGACUCAAAUUAUUAAAUAUUGCUAUUUAGUAUCUUUCUGUCGCAUUGAAGCUGUAUAAACAGUUAAAAUGUUUGAGAAAAUAAGCAGGUUAAUAAUUUCUGUGAUGGGAUAAUUAUUAUUAUUUUUUUUUUAAAUCAUUCAUCUUAUCAGCUAUAUAUUGUUAUCAAAACGAUUCAUAUUUUCUAGUUUUAUCACAGGUGUAUCAGAUACUGUCGAUCAUUCAAUCACGCAUUUUUUAAAAUUUACCAUGAUCUGCUGGAUUUUAUUUUUGAGUCUAAAUUUCAUAAUUGUAGUAUCUCAAAAUGUCAUUUCAAAUAAUCGAAGUAGAGCUGAUCUUUCUUGUGUUUGUAUACCUCAAAAAAAGGACUUCAAUGAAACUAUUAAUGAUAAAGUGAUAUCUGACUGUAGACGAUGUUAUUAUUUUACAUAUGAUUAUACCAAAGAUCAGAAUUGGACUGUUAAUUUGUGUGUUACAAGCUACACUGCAAUUGUUUCUUCGCCUUUGUUUAUUGUUGUGAGAGAAAGUUUAAGUGUUAUGUCAUUCCAGGUACCACUUGCAUUUCCAAAUGCUAGCUCUUACUCUGAAGUAUGUAAGACUCUGUGUCCCUUAUCUAACUUCAGAGAUCCUCUUUUACAACCUGGGCCUCAAAAUAUUUCGAUUGAAAUAUCAACAAGCAGUCAAGACUUGCCGAUUGAUUUUGUUAUGAGGCUUGGUGUCAUUGACAACUUUAUAAUAAGCACAGAUCAGUCCAUAACAGUGAAUAUCACUCCAUCUAAACCUCAUGUAUUGCAGUAUAAUAUGGAAGAAGAUUUACGUGCUGUGAGAAUUGAAGCUACCUCUAAAGAUAAUAACUGCAUGCUAUUAGCAAUUCAAAGCAUACAGUGCCCUAUAUAUGAUUCAGUUCAAUCUGUUGAACCUCAAGGUUAUUACCAAACUCUAAUUCAACAAUCUGGUAUAUCUAUUACAAAAAAGACAUUUCCUGGUGGAAAACAAUACGUUGUUUUAAUUUUGAAGCCAACUGAUGACAGUUGUCUAGAACAAGAAACAAUAAUUGUUCGUAAUAGACAGAAAGAAGUAACUGUGAAAAUUGUUCCAUCUAUUACAGAUGAACAGUAUUAUUUAGCUGUCUUUGGAGCCUUUGGGUUUUAUAUCAUACUCUACAUAUUCUCUUUUGUUAUUUGUUGCUUUCUAUUUGUUAAAAGAAGGCGAAAUACUGCUGAAUUAAAGAAUGUCAAUGUGGAAAAUCCUUCAAUUCAGAAUUAUGGUACUUCGUCAGGCCAGAUAGUACAGAAUCAGGAUAAUCACAAGCUGGAUAUUGCGAAGCCUACUGUAUUAAAAUCAGAGAGCACAUCUGUACCGAGCAAUUCUCGCUCAUUAAAUAGCCUUGCACAGGGAAGAAGUGAGUCACCAGUUAGUUUUGAUGAAACUGAUAUGGAUAAACUGCCUGAUGCUGAAUUAGACAAGAAUGUUGUGAGAACAAAAACUAUUAUUUUUGUUUCUGAUUUGGCUAAAAAGAAGGAUAAAUAUUUAAGUGACAGAUCAAAAGUAUAUUCUUGGAAUUUACUAACUGUUGCUAUAUUUUAUGGGUUACCUGUGAUUCAGCUUGUUUAUAUAAAUCAAAGAAUUGUCAACCUUACUGGAAAUCAAGAUGUCUGUUAUUAUAAUUUUUUGUGUUCUCAUCAAGUUGGAGUUUUUAGUGAUUUCAAUCAUGUCUACAGUAAUAUUGGUUAUGUAAUGCUUGGAUUACUUUUUCUUUUGCUGGUAUGGAGAAGGGAAGUGUUUGAUCAACCGUUAACUAAAGAAAAUAGGAAUAUUCCACAAAAUGAGAUGACUGGUAUACCUCGUCAUUUUGGUUUAAUGUAUGCAAUGGGCUGGGCUCUAAUUAUGGAAGGAGUCUUAAGCGCGAGUUAUCAUGUUUGCCCUAAUCGAGCAAACUUUCAAUUUGAUACUGCUUUUAUGUAUGUCAUUGCUACUGUCUGCAUGUUAAAGCUAUAUCAGUCUAGGCAUCCAGACAUCACUGCAAAAUCUCAUACUAUCUGGAUGGUUUUAGCUGUUGUCAUUAUUAUUGCUUUUGGUGGUGUUGUUAAAGGAGGAAUUUGGGUUUGGUUAGUUUUUACCCUAGGUCAUCUAUCUGUUACUUUUGUUGUUAGCUCAAAAAUUUAUUACAUGGGACGCAUGAAGCUUGAUCGUUGGCUCUGCAAGAGAAUAUAUCAUCAUAUUAAACAGGAUGUUGCUGCACGUUCUAUUAAACCUACAUAUCCGAGACUUAUUUGGACUUAUAAAACAACCCCCUAAUUUUGGGGCAUUUCUGUUAUCAGUUUUCAUAGUUAAUCUUCUUAUGUACCUCAUUUACUAUUCAAUCAUGAAAAUAAAAUGUAAAGAAGGAAUUCGAUGGAUACCAAUAAUGUAUAUGAUUUUAUCUUUUAUCUGCUGGGGCUUUGCUUUGCAUUUCUUUUUAGCUAAAAACACUUCUUGGCAG